AUCCAGCUGACGAGUCCUAAAUAGGACGAGAUUUGCAUCCUGUAA
rnacentral:hammerhead_ribozyme from 1 species